AAAUAAUGAACAAGUUCAUUUUAUCUUCUAACAUAGGAAAGAAAGAUGUGAAAGCAGAUAAACCCAUAUGUAUGUAUUGAUCUUAUGUGUUUGAAUAGAAAUAUGCUAAGAAGCAAAUGACUGAAAUAGAAGGAAAAACUGUGUAUUUCAGCUUUUUGAUUCCAUCCAACUCCAAAGAAACAAAGGCUAACUUCUUUACCUUGUGGAGAAAGAUGAAGCCAGCAUUGCAGAGGAACCACAGGAACCAAAUCCUUAAUAAUUAUACUGUAAAUAUGCGUGCCCGUCUCUCAAAGACGCCAAGCAGUAUUUGUGUUAGUUUGCUCAGUGAUCGCAAACGAGAAGCAGCAUCUGCCAAUCUUACGUUUCAAGGUUUACAUCACAGGUGGAAGGUGUGCGUAAUCUGUGGGAAACUACAUAAAUUCAAUCGUUCUCACAAACGAAAAACAUUUUUAUGCUGUGAAAGGAAUCCUUUUUCUGAAACUCGUGCUACAGUUUUCCCAGGUCUUGAGUGCUGAGGAAAGACAAGGUUUUGAGACUGAGGAUAAAGCAUUCUCGUCUCGCUGAUGACAGCUUGGUGCCUUUGGUAGCAGAGCACAGAGGAGGAAGACACUGCACUGAAAGAAAGAGCUGGUGUGACAUUGGAAUCCAGCUGGGUCCAGCCUGCCUGCCUCCCUUUUCCCUCCUUUUCAGGCCUCUGUCUCCUUACUCCUCUUCUUUGUUUCUCUGGCACUUUCUUCCCUCUUCUCCUACACUGCCUCAAAAGCACAGAAACGUUGGUCACAUGCCCAAGGUUACACAGGUAGUAGGUAAUUCAAACUUAGGCUAAUUCCAGAGCUUCUGCUCUUUCCAUAAC
rnacentral:lncRNA from 1 species